GCAAGUCGAGCGGAUCGAUGGGAGCUUGCUCCCUGAGAUCAGCGGCGGACGGGUGAGUAACACGUGGGUAACCUGCCUGUAAGACUGGGAUAACUCCGGGAAACCGGGGCUAAUACCGGAUAAUUUAGUUCCUCGCAUGAGGAACUGUUGAAAGGUGGCUUUUCGCUACCACUUACAGAUGGACCCGCGGCGCAUUACCUAGUUGGUGAGGUAACGGCUCACCAAGGCAACGAUGCGUAGCCAACCUGAAAGGGUGAUCGGCCACACUGGGACUGAAACACGGCCCAAACUCCUACGGGAGGCAGCAGUAGGGAAUCUUCCGCAAUGGACGAAAGUCUGACGGAGCAACGCCGCGUGAGUGAAAAAGGUUUUCGGAUCGUAAAACUCUGUUGUUAGGGAAAAACAAGUGCCGUUCGAAUAGGGCGGCACCUUGACGGUACCUAACCAAAAAGCCACGGCUAACUACGGCCAGCAGCCGCGGUAAUACGUAGGUGGCAAGCGUUGUCCGGAAUUAUUGGGCGUAAAGCGCGCGCAGGUGGUUUCUUAAGUCUGAUGUGAAAGCCCACGGCUCAACCGUGGAGGGUCAUUGGAAACUGGGGAACUUGAGUGCAGAAAAGGAAAGUGGAAUUCCAAGUGUAGCGGUGAAAUGCGUAGAUAUUUGGAGGAACACCAGUGGCGAAGGCGACUUUCUGGUCUGUAACUGACACUGAGGCGCGAAAGCGUGGGGAGCAAACAGGAUUAGAUACCCUGGUAGUCCACGCCGUAAACGAUGAGUGCUAAGUGUUAGAGGGUUUCCGCCCUUUAGUGCUGCAGCUAACGCAUUAAGCACUCCGCCUGGGGAGUACGGUCGCAAGACUGAAACUCAAAGGAAUUGACGGGGGCC
rnacentral:rRNA from 2 species